UACAGGGGGCCCAAGUACUUGAGUCAUCAUUUGCUGCCUUCUCCGUUGCCUUAUCAAGAAGCUGGAUUUGAGAUAGGAUAGCUGGACAUUUGAAUGGCCCUUCGGAUAUGGGCUAUGCCGAUUCUGUGCAGCAACUUAACCUGUUACACCACAAUGUCUGGCCUUUAUGAUUAUAUAUUUUAAAAUCCGCACUUGUAGACAGCCACAAAGCACCUGAUGCAUUAUUCAAAAUGUCUAAGAAGUGGAAACAAUCCAGAGAUUCAUCAUGAAUUGGACAACACUGUACUUACAUAUGUGCCAUGUUUUUAUAUAGUGGCAUGAAUAUAUCUACAUAGUAGAAUGGUAAUCUAUCCAAAAAAGAAAAAAGUGAAGUUAGGAUGCAGCUGCAGUCAUCUCAAACCGAGAGAACAAGAAACAUAAGUAGAAACUUUGAUGAAACUUGGAGAUGAUUGUAAGCCAAGCCUACAUCACUGUGGAUGAAGACUGAAAGCAUACCUUCUCUGAACUCAAGUACUGCACAUCAAGUAGUACAUGCAAAUUGAAGAUGGACUGUUUGUGAAUCUAAACUUAAAAAUUAUUGUUCUUGCAAAGGAGAAUCUUAU